GAUGAACGCUGGCGGCGUGCCUAAUACAUGCGAGUCGAGCGAACAGACGAGGAGCUUGCUCCUCUGACGUUAGCGGCGGACGGGUGAGUAACACGUGGAUAACCUACCUAUAAGACUGGGAUAACUUCGGGAAACCGGAGCUAAUACCGGAUAAUAUAUUGAACCGCAUGGUUCAAUAGUGAAAGACGGUUUUGCUGUCACUUAUAGAUGGAUCCGCGCCGCAUUAGCUAGUUGGUAAGGUAACGGCUUACCAAGGCAACGAUGCGUAGCCGACCUGGGAGGGUGAUCGGCCACACUGGAACUGAGACACGGUCCAGACUCCUACGGGAGGCAGCAGUAGGGAAUCUUCCGCAAUGGGCGAAAGCCUGACGGAGCAACGCCGCGUGAGUGAUGAAGGUCUUCGGAUCGUAAAACUCUGUUAUUAGGGAAGAACAAAUGUGUAAGUAACUAUGCACGUCUUGACGGUACCUAAUCAGAAAGCCACGGCUAACUACGUG
rnacentral:rRNA from 1 species